ACGGAGGGGGCUAGCGUUGUUCGGAAUGACUGGGCGUAAAGGGUGCGUAGGCGGUUUUUUAAGUAAGGUGUGAAAGCCCUGGGCUCAACCCAGGAACAGCGCUUUAAACUGAAAGACUUGAGUGUGAGAGAGGAAAGUGGAAUUCCUAGUGUAGAGGUGAAAUUCGUAGAGAUUAGGAAGAAUAUCAGAGGCGAAGGCGGCUUUCUGGAUCACAACUGACGCUGAGGCACGAAAGCGUGGGGAGCAAACAGG
rnacentral:rRNA from 1 species